CACUCACUUCUCCUUUACUCACUAACAGAGCUCUCAAAGACAGUUUGGAUGUGGGCACUUCGCCAUGCUUCUGCUUCCAUCAGGAAGCAAGGAUUGAACACAGGCAGUAUUAGAAUUUGCUUUGCUACAUCAGAGCUAUCAAAUCGUUGCUUUGAAGAAUUUGACACUGGAAUUAAUACGAUUACUCCAGUGGUAUCUGAUAGAUGUCUACCUGUAAAUAGAUUUUAUAGAAUGGGUCAUAGUGCCCCAAUCUCAUUCAAGGGAAGCUACGGUUUCUCUUCACAAGCAGUUGGCACAAGAAGCAGUGGAGAGGAAGAUGACAAGUUGGAUGGAAUUCCUGAGCUUGAAUCUCCUACCGCUUCUGAUCCAAUUCAAGAUGGGAAUGCAAACAAUGAUGAUGGUUUAGUAUCUGAACCAGAACACAUUGAUGAGGAUUCCGAUGAUGAAGGUGCAGAAGGAUCUCAGAGUGAACUGGGUGACACCAUGACUCGUAUCAGCCAGAAAAAGGCACCAUAUUCAGAAAUAGUCAAGGCUAUUUUGGCUGCAUUUCCACUAUCUGUUAGUAGUGUCAUGGAUAAAUGGGUUGAAGAAGGAAAAGAGUUGACCCGAGCAGACAUAAAAAUGGCCAUGCUUGGACUCCGUAAGAUGCGUAUGUAUGUGGCAGCCUUGAAGCUGUCUGAGUGGUUGAAGUCAUCGAAGCAUAUUGAUUUCACAGAUAGGGAUUAUGCUUCUCAAGUUGAUUUAAUUGCUAAAGUCUCUGGUCUACGAAAUGCAGAAGCUCUUGUACAGAAACUUCCAAAAUCUUUUAGAAGUGAAAUUGUUUAUCGAACUCUGUUGGCAAAUUGUGUUUCUGUAUUUGAUGUGAAUAAAUCAGAAGAGGUGUUUAAGCUAAUGAAGGACCUCAAGCUCCCAAUUUCAUGCUUUACUUGCAACCAGCUGCUCCUUCUAUAUAAGAGGACAGACAAAAAGAAGAUUGCUGAUGUUCUUUUACUAAUGGAAAAAGAAAAUGUGAAACCAAAUCGAUCUACGUACAAAAUUUUAAUGGAUGCCAAGGGAGAAUCUAAUGACAUUACUGGAAUGGAACAAGUAUUUGAGACAAUGAAGGCUGAAGGAAUAGAGCCUGAUAUCCGUACAAAAGGCUCCUUAGCCAGACACUACAUCUCCGGUGGCCUCCAAGAAAAAGCUGAGACUGUACUGAAGGAGAUGGAAACAGACGAUGUGGCUGGAAAUUCUUUGGCUUACACAAUUUUGCUUCCGUUGUAUGCUGCCAUUGGGAAGGCUGAUGAAGUCAGAAGAAUCUGGCAACUUUGUGAAUCUAAUCCACGGUUAAGUCAUUACGAAGCUGCCAUUGAAGCCUGGGGAAAGUUGAAAAUGGUUGAUGAGGCAGAAGCAGUCUUUGACAUGAUGGUAAAUAAAUACCAAAAUCUCUCCUCAAAGAGAUAUUCUGCUUUGUUAAAUGUUUAUGCAAAUAAUAAGAUGUUGGACAAAGGUAUGGAGCUUGUGAAGCAGAUGACAGAAAAUGGCUGCCACAUGGGGCCACCAACCUGGGACUCAAUUAUAAAGCUUUAUAUUCAAGCUGGAGAAGUGGAAAAAGCUGAAUCCGUAUUGAAUAAGGCUGCAAAGCAUGCACGUGUAAAGCCAAUGUUUAGAUCAUACAUUGUUAUCAUGGAUCAAUAUGCUAAAAGAGGUGACAUACAUAAUUCGGAGAAGGUAUUCCACAGGAUGAGACAGGCAGGAUUCACAUCCCAGUUUCGGUUGUACCAAGCUCUUAUUCGGGCUUAUAUGAAUGCAAAGGCUCCUGCUUAUGGAAUGAAGGAGCGAAUGAAGGCUGAUAAAGUAUUCCCAAAUAAAGAAUUGGCUGCCAUGUUGUCUCAGGUUGAUCCAUUCAGAAAGACUGCAGUAUCAGAGAUAUUGGAGUAAAUUGAAGUAAUGAUACAUUGGUCCAUAAUCACUAGCAUGGCAAUGGUUUCAGUUUAUACUGCAGAGACAGAAUUUAAUUUAAUAUAAGUAUACUAUGGUGCUGUUCCAGUUUCGAGUAUGCAUGCCUACCUUAUGCAGAGCAAAUGGAAGUAAUUCAAAUAAGAGAAGAUUCCUGGUCAGAGCCUGUCAACCUGCUCAACUUAUGCCCUGUUUUGUAACAUAGUUAGCUUAUCAAUCAAUUUUAACUUAUUUAACUACUAUUAGCUAUUUGACUUCGUU